rnacentral:rRNA from 1 species
AACGAACGCUGGCGGCAUGCCUAACACAUGCAAGUCGAACGAGACCUUCGGGUCUAGUGGCGCACGGGUGCGUAACGCGUGGGAACCUGCCCUUAGGUUCGGAAUAACUCCCCGAAAGGGGUGCUAAUACCGGAUAAUGUCUUCGGACCAAAGAUUUAUCGCCUUUGGAUGGGCCCGCGUUGGAUUAGCUAGUUGGUAGGGUAAAAGCCUACCAAGGCGACGAUCCAUAGCUGGUCUGAGAGGAUGAGCAGCCACACUGGGACUGAGACACGGCCCAGACUCCUACGGGAGGGAGCAGUGGGGAAUAUUGGACAACGGGCGAAAGCCUGAUCCAGCAAUGCCGCGUGAGUGAUGAAGGCCUUAGGGUUGUAAAGCUCUUUUACCCGGGAUGAUAAUGACAGUACCGGGAGAAUAAGCACCGGCUAACUCCGUG